rnacentral:lncRNA from 1 species
CGGCCGGGGCCGGGCUACGCGGAGGACAAACAGCUGGCGAGUGUCAGGGUCUGGCCGCCUCCCCGCUGCCCACACGCACCUACCCGCGCCCGGGACGCGCAUUUUCCUUCUCUCGCCACGAGUUCACCUGGGACUUUGCAAAUAACUGUGCGGUGGGAGCUGCGCUCCAGCCUUGUCAUUUGCUGAGGGUGGGUGGCGGUGCCCAAGGAAGUGAACUUAUUUUGUUCCUUCACAAAGACUGGACCAGGCGGUGCCUUUCACGCGAAGAGGUUACGACCACGGACACAACCUCCUUUGAUGCAUUGUGCGAGGCAGCACCUCGGGCCCCGGACAGUAGUCAUUUCACAGAAAAUGCACCGCCCCGAGUGUCUUAUUGCUGUGAUGAAAUGGAAAUUUAAAUAAAAGGUCGAACACGUGCGUUCACUGGGAAGUAUUGACAUGGGUGUUACAUCACCAGCAGCCAAUCAGAUAACUCCAGUCGUGUUUAUACUUCUACAACCACCUUGUGAGUAUUACAGUAUGUCAUAACGUUAUAAAUAUUAGGCAGGGUUUUCCCCAGGAGCGGGGAGGAGUCUGCUUCUACGGACGUUGUGAGCGGCUCCGAAGAUUGUGUGUUUAAAGUCAACAAUUCAUUUUUAAGACUUUUUUCGAACUGUUUACAUUACAUGGACUUUAGAUUGAUUCUGACAGAAUGAACUGGAAAUGAAAUCCCACAGUUAUGAUCGUAGUAGAGUUUUUUUUUCCAAUUUAGGGCCCUUAUACUCCUUUUAAAAAUUUUUAAUAUGCUAAAUUUAGCAAAUACUAAAGUGUUAAGACUCAUCUGACAAUGUGAGAAUUUAAGCCUAUUUCAGGUUAAGAAAAAAAAGAUGUUUUCAAGUUAUGGAGGGGCUUUUUACUCUUAAGCGACAUAUGUAUUAGAAGUUGAAUCACGAACUGAUAAAAUGCUCCAGAUAAUUGUUGACUAAAAAAAAUACGGCAGGACAAAUUUUUUACAUUAAUACAUAUGUGCAGAAAAUGAGAAAUAUACAUGAACUCUUUACAGUUAUAGAUUAAUGGGAAGGGUUAUGUUAAAGGCUUGAACCUCCUAAAUAAUGUAUUAAUGUAAAUAAAGUUAUAUAUGUUUUAUGAAGAACAGGUGUUACAAUUUUUAGACCUAGUUUUAUGAUUCUUAUUCUCUUCAAAAGUUCUUUUUCUAUUUCAAAACUAAGAGCAAUAUGUAAAGCUUUGUAUAAUAUGGAAUAUGGUAUGUAUUUCAAGGUUACUUUAAAAAGCAAGCUUUGGCUGGUCCCAAGGUAGUGAAUUGUCUCAAUUGGUUAUUCACAGUUGGUUGCCCGUUGUACCACUCUUUCCCCACUUCCACUUGACUAGUCUUUUAAAAAUAAAUAAAUAUUUAAAUAAACAAGUCUUCUCAAACAUUAUAAAAGACCGUUUUUCUUAAUAUUUUUUAAAUGGACUAACAUGAAUCCACAUCCAGACUCAUAUUAAUUGUAUACAUUUAUUCAAAGCAACAUUCACUUCAUUCAUUGUAAUUUUUAGUACCUGUUGAUGAGCAGUGUUGUAUAUCAAACAAAAAACAUUGGUUUUAUCUUGUAGAUUACAUGUAAUUUUAAUGUAAAGAAUGACAGUACUACCCUGCCACAAAAGGAUUUUGGCUUUGAGUUAUUUUUCCGGUAAUAAACAUAUUGUCACCUGGCCACCAGUGACCAAGAGCUUGAAAUUC